rnacentral:rRNA from 1 species
CAGUCGCCGCGGGAAUACGAAGGGGGCUAGCGUUGUUCGGAAUCACUGGGCGUAAAGCGCACGUAGGCGGACACUUAAGUCAGAGGUGAAAUCCCAAGGCUCAACCUUGGAACUGCCUUUGAUACUGGGUGUCUUGAGGUCGAGAGAGGUGAGUGGAACUGCGAGUGUAGAGGUGAAAUUCGUAGAUAUUCGCAAGAACACCAGUGGCGAAGGCGACAUACUGGAUCAUUACUGACGCUGAGGCACGAAAGCGUGGGGAGCAAACAGGAUUAGAUACCCCCGUAGUCCCUGUCUCUUAUAC